rnacentral:rRNA from 1 species
UACAGAGGGUGCAAGCGUUGUUCGGAAUUAUUGGGCGUAAAGCGCGUGUAGGCGGCUAAGUAAGUCGGGGCGUGAAAUCCCACGGCUCAACCGUGGAAGUGCACUCGAAACUGCAUAGCUAGAGUCCUGGAGAGGAAGGUGGAAUGCUUGGUGUAGAGGUGAAAUUCGUAGAUAUCAAGCGGAACACGGUGGCGAAGGCGGCCUUCUGGACAGUGACGUGACGCUGAGACGGCGAAAAGCGUGGGGAGCAAACAGGGAU